rnacentral:rRNA from 1 species
AGCGAACGCUGGCGGCAGGCCUAACACAUGCAAGUCGAACGAACUCUUCGGAGUUAGUGGCGGACGGGUGAGUAACACGUGGGAACGUGCCUUUUGGUUCGGAAUAACUCAGGGAAACUUGUGCUAAUACCGAAUGUGCCCUUCGGGGGAAAGAUUUAUCGCCAUUAGAGCGGCCCGCGUCUGAUUAGCUAGUUGGUGAGGUAACGGCUCACCAAGGCGACGAUCAGUAGCUGGUCUGAGAGGAUGACCAGCCACACUGGGACUGAGACACGGCCCAGUCUCCUACGGGAGGCAGCAGUGGGGAAUCUUGCGCAAUGGGCGAAAGCCUGACGCAGCCAUGCCGCGUGAAUGAUGAAGGUCUUAGGAUUGUAAAAUUCUUUCACCGGGGACGAUAAUGACGGUACCCGGAGAAGAAGCCCCGGCUAACUUCGUG